rnacentral:ncRNA from 1 species
CUGGAUGUGUUGAGGAAGAGGAGUAGCCAAUUAUCUGCCUCCAGAGAGAGAAAUCCAAGGCUGAGAGGUUUCUCGGUAAGAAUUGUCGAAGGUAGCUUCAGAGCAGCUGAGUUGAGAAAGAAUCCAUGUAGAUUCAGCCGGGUAAUUCCGAUAAAGAUUAUGAAGCGCCGACUGUUUGUCGGAAUUAAGGUGGUACCGCGAAACGACUCUUUCGUCCUUAAA